AAGCAGGAGGUGUCAGAAAUGUUACCACAAGGCUAGCUGGCUUGUGGCCAGCAAGCGUUCACAACGCCCUCGAUUUUUCAUCCCU
rnacentral:miRNA from 10 species